rnacentral:misc_RNA from 2 species
AGCAUCUCACAAACCUCGUGUUUUCGAACAUGGGGCAAGUGGAUCUGGAUGCUUUGCAUUUUUGCAAGCAUCUGAAAAUGAUUGUAUGUGCACCAAUUGGUAUUGUCAGUUGGGUUCCAACGUGCAACAGAUUUAUCUAUUCCGCGGAGGCAACCUUGAUUGACUGCCAGCCGGAGCGCAUGCUCACAAGCGAACACGGUGGUUGCAUUAUUUUGAUGUCGACUUCCGAUA